GGUAGGAUGUUUUUAAAUACUUAUACACACAUUUGACAGUUUUAAGAUUAAUUAAAACGUUGAAAUUGAUGACUCUUGAGUAUAAGAAGUGACGUAUAUUGCAAGACUGACCCCUAUCACGUACAAUGUAUUUCAAGAAGUUAAUGACAGGUUAAAAUACGUGUAGGUUAAUUACAUUUCUUGUUGCUUAGUGCCAGUCACUUUUUUUUCAUCGGUGUGAUCAGUCUAGUCGAUGCCCAUCAAUAUGGCUGCCAGCAGCCUGUUUAUAUCAAUGACGCCAUUUUACUCCUUUGUCCUCCCGAUUGAAAAUCCAUUUCUUCAAGCUUCGGAAGUCGUGAAGUAGCAAGCAAAGAAAAUGGUGUAUGUGUAUUAUUACAGCAAGUCCACUCAGCAACCACACUCAGGCUAUACAACGUAUGCUAGCAAUACAUGGGCCAUGUAUUAAAUAUUCGAUCAAAACUUCGUUUUCAAGAUAUACAGUUUCUCACGAGACUACGAAAGAAAUAUAUUUUAUUUCCACAAUGAAUAACGACUAACAUGGCACGUAGGCAAACUUUCCACAACAUCCGUAUGGAGACAAAAGAUACAUUUUAUGAAGCUAUCAUCCGAAGAAAGAUGUAGGUACUGAUUGUGCGGAAUAAAUAAAAUAAUUAGAAGAGUCAACCCAUCUGGUUAAAAUAAAAACAACAACAACAACAAAUAAUACUAGAUUAUCAAUUUGUGUUAAUUAUCAUUUUGAUGUUUUUAAUGUUUUGGUGCAGGAUGUGAAGUUCUAUGAACAUACCAGAUAUUUCAAAAACGUAUUUCCAGUUUGAAUUUCCAAUAUAUUUUUACAAGAUUUGUAUUAUUUCAAAAGUAAAUGAGUUUACGUUG